rnacentral:snRNA from 1 species
GUGCUUGCUUCAGCAGCACAUAUACUAAAAUUGGAACAAUACAAAGAAGAUUAGCAUGGCACCUGUGCAAGGAUGACAUGCAAAUUCACGAAGCAUUCCAUAUUUUU